rnacentral:rRNA from 1 species
CCUACGGGAGGCAGCAGUGGGGAAUAUUGCACAAUGGGGGAAACCCUGAUGCAGCGACGCCGCGUGAGUGAAGAAGUAAUUCGUUAUAUAAAGCUCUAUCAGCAGGGAAGAAAAUGACGGUACCUGUGUAAGAAGCCCCGGCUAACUACGAGCCAGCACCCGCGGGGAUACGUAGGGGGCAAGCGUUAUUCGGAUUUACUGGGUGUAAAGGGAGCUUAGACGGCAGUGCAAGUCUGGAGUGAAAGGCGGGGGCUCAACCCCCGGACUGCUGUGGAAACUGUACGGCUGGAGUGCAGGAGAGGUAAGUGGAAUUCCUAGUGUAGCGGUGAAAUGCGUAGAUAUUAGGCGGAACACCAGUGGCGAAGGCGGCUUACUGGACUGUAACUGACGUUGAGGCUCGAAAGCGUGGGGAGCAAACAGGAUUAGAUACCCCUGUAGUC